rnacentral:rRNA from 1 species
GACGAACGCUGGCGGCGUGCUUAGCACAUGCAAGUCGAGCGGUAAGGCCCUUUCGGGGGUACACGAGCGGCGAACGGGUGAGUAACACGUGGGUGACCUGCCCUUAGCUCUGGGAUAAGCCUGGGAAACUGGGUCUAAUACCGGAUAUGACUCCAUGACGCAUGUUGUGGGGUGGAAAGCCUUGUGCGGCUAGGGAUGGGCCCGCGGCCUAUCAGCUUGUUGGUGGGGUGANGGCCUACCAAGGCGACGACGGGUAGCCGGCCUGAGAGGGCGACCGGCCACACUGGGACUGAGACACGGCCCAGACUCCUACGGGAGGCAGCAGUGGGGAAUCUUGCGCAAUGGGCGAAAGCCUGACGCAGCGACGCCGCGUGGGGAUGACGGCCU